rnacentral:miRNA from 1 species
UUCGACGAUGUUGUGGUGCCUCU